rnacentral:rRNA from 1 species
CUCCUCGUUGCUGAUCUCAGGUUCGAUAAUGCCAAUAUCGCACCACCUCGCCUAAAACCAACUUCGAUGAAGCGACGGGCGGUGUGUG